rnacentral:hammerhead_ribozyme from 1 species
GCACUGCCGAGGAAUCCCAUAAUAGAACGAAACGGCCGUCAAGUGC